ACCAGACUCCUACGGGAGGCAGCAGUGGGGAAUAUUGCACAAUGGGGGGAACCCUGAUGCAGCGACGCCGCGUGGGUGAAGGAGUAUUUCGGUAUGUAAAGCCCUCUCAGCAGGGAAGAACAAUGACGGUACCUGACUAAGAAGCUCCGGCUAACUACGUGCCAGCAGCCGCGGUAAUACGUAGGGAGCGAGCGUUGUCCGGAAUUACUGGGUGUAAAGGGAGCGUAGGCGGGGAUGCAAGUUGGGUGUCAAAACUACCGGCUCAACUGGUAGUCGCACUCAAAACUGCAGCUCUUGAGUGAAGUAGAGGCAGGCGGAAUUCCUAGUGUAGCGGUGAAAUGCGUAGAUAUUAGGAGGAACACCGGCGGCGAAGGCGGCCUGCUGGACCGUGACUGACGUUGAGGCUCGAGAGCGUGGGGAGCAAACAGGAUUAGAUACCCUUGUA
rnacentral:rRNA from 1 species